GUUAUUUCUUACUCCUAAACUUCUUGUGGAGCUCCUUCCUACAGUUAGGAACUUCCUUCUGGAGUUAUAAGUUUUCUUCAAAUGUAGGUCACCAAGUUUUUGAGUUCACCACGGGGACGACGGGUCUGCGACGGUGCUACCGCACGGUAAGUCCACUCAUGGCCCCCACUUCACCCAUGCACCCGUUCACCCUUAGGUUGGAGGGCAUGGAAUGGAGCCGCUAGGGCUUCAUUGUGCCACCUCAACUUCACCUCAUCAAUAGUGCUCCCCUUUAACAAUGUGGGUAUGGGAUAAAGCCCCAACCCAUCAAUAGUGUCCCUCCCUUUCACACACAUACAUCUUGCUAUUGCUCGCCAUUAGAGGGGGGGGGGGGGAUUUUUUGGUUGAGAUGGCCUAGGUGGGACCCCAUACCGUGUAGCCUUAUAACGUUGUGAUGAAUGAUUUGUUAAAUAACUUCUUCAAAUUCACAUCAAUGAAAGAGGUAUGCUCAAGGGAACGUGAAGGUAGAUUGAAAAAAUGAACAGGCCAAAAGAAUCGCAUUGACGUUAAUCACGUUAUCGACUCACAGGAUGAUAUAUUGGAUUGUAAGUGAGCAGAGCUUUAAAUAUAUAUACAAAGAAACAGGAUAUUAAUUGGAGAGAUUUAGACUAUCAAAAUAUAUGAUGUACCAAACCACAACACAAAUACACUAUCAAUACAUUCAUAAAUACAACUUUCACAAAGCAGUUAUCAUUCCAAUCCCAUACUAUCAAACUAAUGCCACAUUGCCACUCCCUCAUAAUUCUCCAAGAAAUUCAAACUUUACAAAAUAAAGCACAAGCUUUGCACACCACUUUCUGGCUUUUGCAAACGAAUCGCAACCGUCGAACAAUAAACUGGCUGGCCCGAAUCCAACAUUUUCGAAGCCGGGCAACAAAUUUGAAGUUUCUAGAAACCUGAAGUUGGAUUUGCAUACUUCAAUUCAAAGUUACCGGAUGCUUUGUCUCCUACCUUUCCCGGUAGCCUUCAUAUUUUGGGAGUCCCGGAAGCAAACAAAGUGCACGAUUGUGUUUCCAUUAGGAUAGACGGCAAAAACACUGGUUCCUAUCUUCUUGUUACAAAGGGAACACAUGUUGUCGGCCGUUAUCUUCACAACUGCUUUUCUUUGCCUGUACAGCUCAUCUUUAGCCUGCAGAUCAUAAUUUUGAUGCAUGAGAUGGUGGUGUUUGGUGAGGUUCAUUACUCAACACUAGAUUAUUACGUUGAUGAAAAAACCUUAUGAACGUAAAUGGACAAAGCAAGUUCGUGUUGGUUCAUUUUCCCUAAUAAAAGUGCGCGUUCUUCGAAAAGAGCGGUUGUCGGUAAUCGCUUUAACAAAACCUCGGGAGUAUAUCCCAAAAUACCCUCCAAUGCAGACAAAAGCUUUUUCCGUGUUGGAGUGUAAGUUUUCUCGUCCCAUUUCUUUUCAGCAACGAGAUCAGCAUACCAAUCAAGCACUUCUGAAAGAUAUAUUUGCACCUACAACAAAAUAGAAAACACAGAACACCUUUAGUGUGUGUUUUUGUGUGUGUGUGUUGGAAGAUGUGAAAAGGAUAAAGAUGGACCAUUUCAUUCUGCAAGUUUCCAGAGAUGGGGGCUUCGUUCAUUGAGAGCAUUAGCUCUAAGUAUGUAGCUUGCAUGUUGGGAGCAUGUUGUUUUAAGUAUGAGUUUACCAAAUCUGCUGGUAUGUUUCCUGAUAAGAAAAGCUCGAUGGUUUGUGUCGGACAACUUUCGAGAACAAGCAUUGAAAAUUCCAGUACAAUCAUAGGGUCGAUCCCACAUAGAGGCUGCAUAAGAUAAUUCACAUCAUUUUUAUUAUU
rnacentral:lncRNA from 1 species